rnacentral:misc_RNA from 1 species
AAAAAACCCUUUUCCAGCAGGGGUUUCAUUUGGGGGAAGAUGGAAGAACAAAGCACCGCUAUAAUUUUAGCUAGAGCCACGGAGUUGAGGCUAAAGAUUAGAAACUCUGUUAACACCACCACCACCAGUUCCGCCGUAAAUUCCCGGGAGAUUCGGGAUGAUCGGUUUUCUGUGGAUGAAAAUAAUGGCGUUGUUGGUUCCCGCCGGAGUGAGGCGGAUGCGAGUGGUGGGGAGGCGGAGGAAGAUGAGGAAGCGGUGAGGCUUUUGAACAUCUGCGAUGCACUCGAGUCUCUUGAGAAUCAGCUUUCUUCGUUGCAGGAUUUACAACAACGGCAAAGGUAUGAGAAAGAAGUAGCCCUUUCUGAGAUCGAACAUAGCCGCAAGAUUUUACUGGAUAAACUGAAGAAGUACAAAGGAGGGGAUUUGGAAGUGAU